AGCCGGUUCAGCCCAGUUCGGUCAAACCAGUAGUGGCGACUGCAGGAGGCUCCGCCCACCCGCCCGGACAUAAUGCGUGAGCAAAGAGCAUGUGUGGAAGGCCAUGCUCACAUUUGCGAACCGGUAGGGAAGGAAGUAGUAAAACGAAAUCCCACUGAAAUACAAAGGAUUUGCCUCUAAUUGAAGAAGACCAGUGAUUUAUUUAUGAUGAAGGCCUUGUCCAUUCAAAAAUAGGCUGGAUGACCUUGGAACAUCUCAACUUACUUCACCAUCCAUAUUUGAUGGGAAACAUUUGAGCUCUGGAUCCUGUUUUGAACAUAAAUAAGAAAAACAUUUUACACCCAUUGAGUUGAAGAUCUAGAAACCUCUGCGGGAGAGGUGGUUGUUUCCAUUCAUUUCUAUAGAAAGCUGCUUUGUGCUUCUGAAGGGAGCUUAUUGUAAUGAGUGAUAAAUCAGCUUUUUUUUUUUUAAAAAAAAGGACUAUAAAUCUCUAUUUUAUUUCUAAAUAAAUGCAUUCAGAAUU